rnacentral:rRNA from 1 species
UACGUAGGGUGCGAGCGUUGUCCGGAAUUACUGGGCGUAAAGAGCUUGUAGGUGGUUUGUCGCGUUGUUCGUGAAAUCUCACGGCUUAACUGUGAGCGUGCGGGCGAUACGGGCAGACUAGAGUACUGCAGGGGAGACUGGAAUUCCUGGUGUAGCGGUGGAAUGCGCAGAUAUCAGGAGGAACACCGGUGGCGAAGGCGGGUCUCUGGGACGGUACUGACGCUGAGGCGCGAAAGCGUGGGGAGCGAACAGG